CCCCCAGUCCCGAGACGCGCGCGCGGGCCCAGAGCGUGGGCUGCGGCUCCCGGGCCGCCUCGCCCUGCGGACGCCGCAAACAAGUGCGUCUGUUAUUACCAUUUGUGAAAGUGCAGAAGGUGUUUUAACGCUCACGGCCCGUAUCUCUCUGUGCGGAAAAAUCUGUUCAGAGGUUUAUUGAGGUUUUGAAGUUUGAUUUCAUUAUUUCAUCUUUAAAGUCGUAGUCACUUAUGCGUUUGAAUGCUUUUAGUAUUUAUGGAGCGCCUACUGCGUGCCAGGCCGUAGGUGCUGGGGACACAUUUGGGCGCCAAGAGCAGAAGUGCCCGCCUGCCGGGAGUUACGUCAUCAGUACCUAAGCUUACGUAAUGCAGAUAACUCGUCCCAACCCUUCCAUAGGACCAAGGGACAUGUCUGAACAGGGGAUGCUUCCACCAGCCUGGGGCUGCACAGAAGCUUCCCUGGAAGGCGCAGCCCAACCAUGUGGCAGCCCAGCCAGCACAUCCAUCCAGCAGAGGCCCACUCCCCCGAUGUCACUUACGUUGAUGAUGACCGCGAGCUUCCCGACGCCUCUGAGAAUAUUGUACCAGAUUCCUGGGGGAGAAGAGAAGCACAGUUUCAAGACGGCUCUUGCACCUGGCUCUCAGGUUGACCCUAUGUGGAUGCAUCAAAUAAGAUCAGAGCCCCAGCGGCAGGGCAGCAGAAAAGGAGGGAAAUGCUGCUCAAUAACAUCUGCUUGCACCGGGUCUGCUGUGUGGACGGACUGGGAAAGCAGCACAGGACACGCUCUUACCUCCUCCAUCCGGAAAGAACGGAAAAUGUAGACAUAGUCGCCUGGGCGCCCGACGAACCUGCAACGAGUGGGGGCAGUGGCAGGGAAGGGUCGGCGCGGGGAGACUGGGGCAGGGCUGCAGCCCGCCUCGAGUGGCCCACAGGCUCUGGCAGCUGAGCCACGACCCCUGGGGUGUGCUGUGGUAGCACCUUCCACAGACUCUCAAACUCCAGAGGCGUUAUAGGAGGUCCAGGCGUGGAGUGUACCCCUGCACCAGCCGGGAAGCACCAAGCUGGCUGUGGCUGUGCUCUUUCCACCUGCACCUGUGGCCCCGACCCCCGUGAGCCACCUUGCCCUACUGUGGGAGCUCCUGGAGCUCGCUGCCUGGGGCCCUGCUGUCUGGGGUCUCUGCUGUCUGGGGCCCUGCUGCCCGGGGCCCUGCUGUCUGGGGUCCCUGCUGCCCUGUGGCCCUACUGCCUGGGGCCCUGCGGUCUGGGGUCCCUGCUGUCUGGGGUCCCUGUUGCCUGGGGUCCCUGCUUCUGGGGCCCCUGCUGCCCGGGGCCUUGCUGUCUGGGGUCCCUGCUGUCUGGGGCCCUGCUGCCCGGGGCCCUGCUGUCUGGGGUCCCUGCUGUCUGGGUCCCUGCUGUCUGAGGUCCUUGCUGUCUGGGGCCCUACUGCCUGGGGCCCUGCUGUCUGGGGUCCCUGC